UACGAAGGGGGCUAGCGUUGCUCGGAAUCACUGGGCGUAAAGGGCGCGUAGGCGGCCGUUCAAGUCGGGGGUGAAAGCCUGUGGCUCAACCACAGAAUGGCCCUCGAUACUGGAUGGCUCGAGACCGGAAGAGGUUGGUGGAGCUGCGAGUGUAGAGGUGAAAUUCGUAGAUAUUCGCAAGAACACCAGUGGCGAAGGCGGCCAACUGGUCCGGUUCUGACGCUGAGGCGCGAAAGCGUGGGGAGCAAACAGG
rnacentral:rRNA from 1 species